AUUGAACGCUGGCGGCAGGCCUAACACAUGCAAGUCGAGCGAGCGGCGGACGGGUGAGUAAUGUAUGGGGACUGCCCGAUAGAGGGGGGAAACUACUGGAAAAGGUAGCUAAAACCGCAUACUAUCGGAUAACCCAUAUGGGAUUAGCUAGUAGGUGCGGUAAUGUCUCACCAAGGCGACGAUCCCUAGCUGGUCUGAGAGGAUGAUCAGCCACGCGGGGACGCAGACACGGCCCAGACUCCUAAGGAGGCAGCAGUGGGGAAUAUUGCAGAAUGGGCGCAAGCCUGAUGCAGCCAUGCCGCGUGUAUGAAGAAGGCCCUAGGGUUGUAAAGUACUUUCAGUCGGGAGGCGUUACCGACAGAAGAAGCACCGGCUAACUCCGUGCCAGCAGCCGCGGUAAUUC
rnacentral:rRNA from 1 species